rnacentral:rRNA from 1 species
UGGGGAAUAUUGCACAAUGGGCGAAAGCCUGAUGCAGCAACGCCGCGUGAGGGACGACGGCCUUCGGGUUGUAAACCUCUUUUAGCAAGGAAGAAGCGAAAGUGACGGUACUUGCAGAAAAAAGCGCCGGCUAACUACGUGCCAGCAGCCGCGGUAAUACGUAGGGCGCAAGCGUUAUCCGGAAUUAUUGGGCGUAAAGAGCUCGUAGGCGGUCUGUCGCGUCUGCUGUGAAAACCCGAGGCUCAACCUCGGGCCUGCAGUGGGUACGGGCAGACUAGAGUGCGGUAGGGGGAGAUUGGAACUCCUGGGUGUAGCGGUGGAAUGCGCAGAUAUCAGGAAGAACACCGAUGGCGAAGGCAGAUCUCUGGGCCCGUAACUGACGCUGAGGAGC